rnacentral:misc_RNA from 1 species
UUAAAGUGACAUCAUUAAUUUGAAAUGUUUUUCAUUAUGUGUCCUCUAAAAAUUUCUAUUUUAAUUGUGAUAUAAUUCUUUUGAAUAUAUUAUUAAGGAUUAACGUAUUUUAGAAGUUUUACAAAUCAAAGAUUGCCGUGGAAAAUAAGUAUAAACAAUCGGGUAGUGUGUGGAGACUCAAGAAAGUGAUUCGAAAAUUGUAGAACUUUGGACUAACUCAGAUCUUACCGACUCAAGUCAAGAAUAGAGCCUGUGAUUGACAUUGAUAGCACAAGUGACUAGGUGACUUGUUCAAAUGAAUAUGGCUGACGACCCAUAUGAUAAGCCUCCAGCCCCUCCAGUUCGACUGACUAGUGCUAGGGAUUCUUCAUCAGUACCUGUUGAUAUGAAGCCUCUUCCCAAAGAACCUGACAGUGAAGAAAAGAAGAAAGUGAAAUAUGGAACACCUUCAAAGAGUACAAAAAAGAAGGAUGCAGACAAACCUGUCAUUUCUCCACCCACAAACUUUGAACAUACUAUCCAUGUGGGAUUUGAUGCAAUUACAGGGGAGUUUACUGGAAUGCCAGAGUCUUGGGCAAGAUUAUUACAGAAUUCCAACAUUACCAAGUCAGAACAGAAGAAGAAUCCUCAAGCAGUGUUAGAUGUGUUAAAUUGGUAUGAUGCCUCUACUAAAGAGAAACAAGAGUCUAAGUACAUGACAAUGAACCGUAUGUUAGCCCAGCUUUUGGCCCAAUGGCAACAAAGUACAUAUCCUUCACCAAGGCCAAGCUAUCUUCCAGAUAAAGAGACAUCCAAUAUUGUGAUUCCACCUCCUGUGUCGCCAAAACCAGAACCAUCUCCACCCUCCACUCCUGAGGAAGAAGAAGAGGAAUCAGGACCACCUCCACCAGUAGCUGCCCGACCAGAAAAGACUAAGUCUAUAUACACAAAGCCAGUAGAUGAAGAAGUAAAGAAUGGAGCAGGGUUUGGAUUUGAUAAGAGAGAUAUUGCCAAUAAUAACAAUACAGCUGCAAGACCUAAAAAGAAAAAAAUGUCAGAUGAGGAAAUUAUGGAGAAACUGAGAAUUAUAGUUGCUGUUGGAGAUCCAAAUAAAAAGUAUACAAAAAUGGAGAAAAUUGGUCAAGGGGCUUCAGGUACUGUGUACACAGCUAUUGAGAUAGCUACAGGUAUGGAGGUAGCCAUCAAGCAGAUGAACCUUUCUCAACAACCCAAGAAGGAACUAAUCAUUAAUGAACUGCUAGUGAUGCGUGAAAACAAACAUCCAAAUAUUGUUAACUAUCUAGACAGUUAUCUUGUGGGAGAGGAACUGUGGGUAACAAUGGAAUACCUACCCGGAGGUUCACUGACUGAUGUUGUCACUGAAACCUGCAUGGAUGAAGGGCAGAUUGCUGCUGUUUGUAGAGAAGUACUUCAGGCUCUAGAAUUUCUUCAUUACAACCAUGUGAUUCACAGAGACAUAAAAAGUGACAACAUUUUACUUGGCAUGGAUGGUAGUGUUAAACUUACUGAUUUUGGGUUUUGUGCUCAGAUCUCUCCUGAACAAAGUAAAAGGACAACAAUGGUUGGCACUCCAUACUGGAUGGCUCCUGAAGUUGUAACUCGCAAGCAGUAUGGUCCUAAAGUUGACAUCUGGUCACUUGGUAUCAUGGCUAUAGAAAUGAUUGAAGGAGAACCUCCUUACCUCAAUGAAAACCCCCUUAGGGCACUUUACUUAAUUGCAACCAAUGGAAAACCUGAAAUCAAAGAGAAAGAAAAGUUAUCACCAGUCUUCCAAGACUUUCUUGAUAAGUGCCUGGAUGUUGAUGUGGACAAACGAUUUUCAGCUUGUGAAUUACUUAAGCACCCAUUUCUGAAGCUUGCACGACCUUUAGCAAGUUUACAUCCACUCAUAGUGGCAGCAAAAGAAGCAGCAAAAAGUCACUAGAAAUACAAAGAUUUUUCAUCACUCUUGGGAAGAUUUUUGAUAGUAUGGUGUUGUUCUAUCUGGUUGCAGACUUGCAAGUUUGUCUUCAGCCAAUCAGAGCAAACUGUUUGAUUCAUUUAGCAAUCAAGGUCAGCUUUCAUGUGCUUUCAGCCUUCAAAGCCAAUUCAUCAGUUGAUUUCUCAAGAGCAUGUACAUCUUUCUCAAUGUGGUGUUUCUUUUUCUUUAAUUCAUCAAUUUCAUCCAGGAGUGGUUUUUGCUUUCGUUUUCCUUGCAUCUCUUUUCCUCCUUCAGGUAGGUAUAGUACUGUUGCCUUGCACCAGCUGCAUGUUCUGCAUCCCCCCAACUGAACUGAGAUGGUUACAUAAAAGGUUACAUACAUAUAUUUCCUCUUGAAGAUCUUCAACCUCAAUCUGAUGAUUCACUAAAAAGCCACUCUCCACUGAGGCAUUCCCAUGUGACAGAAGUAGCAAGACCUGCACAACAUUUUAAAUGCAUUGCUGCCUACCAUUAUUUCAUAGAAAACGGUAUCCACCCUACAUUUAGCAUAAUCAAAAUCUGUUAAUUCUAAUUUUCUGUUAUUUACAGUGUCACUGAUGUACAGCCUGUUCUGCCCGAGUAUGUCAUCACAGCUGUUCUCAUCAGCAAGAAUUUGUGGUACCUUUUUUAAGCUUUUUCAUACAUGAUUCCUGAUCCUUGGCCAUUUCACAUGGAUCCAAGCAUACCACAUUGUACAUCAAUGUGUUCUGUAGGGGAGACUUAUCCUAUAACAUAAGCACAAGUAACAGCAAGCACUCUUUACUCUCCAUCCUAAAUUGAAGUUAUCUUUUUUUCACUGAUUUUCUCAUUUGUCACCAAUUCCUUCAGUAUCUUCUCUGUCAUAAAUCCAACAUCUACAAUGGCAAUAAUGUAUGCAACUGCAGGCAUGUUUUACUCUAAUUACAGUGUACAAAAAUACAAUUCACCUUUUAAAACUUGAGUUAUACAAAAGCUAAUUAAUUCUGCUGAGUAUGCAUUUUAGUAAGCCAACACUGUACACUACUUAAAAAUUCAAAUUAAAUAAAAAUAAAUACAGAUAAAUUACACUCAAACCAGUGUGUUAUGUCAGUCCCUUCUACUAUAUAAACAGAAACUCCCAAUUAAAAAAAUGAGUCAAUUAAAGGAAAAAGCCCCAAUUAUACAAAUACUGUAGUCUUACCCAUGUCUCUUGCUUCCUAGUAAUUAGCAGUGAAUAAAAGUUUGGAAAGUCAGAGGUCUGCCCUGAAGACUUUUAGUGAUUCUUCAUUUGAUAUUUACUUCCUUGUAUGGCUUAUUACCCAUCAGGUAAUGAAAUGCAAUCCAUUAUUUCACCUAAGCCUUAAUUUGGUUAGUACAAGUUUUAUAGUUUGUAGCUGCUGUGCUCAGCACUUUCAUUCAUCACUUUUUCUCCAAACAACUUUAUAUUAUUUUCAGAUAUUUAGCAUAAAAAUGCUUCCUUAUACAUUUCCAUAGUAAGAAAAAUUAAAACUCUCUAACAUAGAAUUGAACUUAUCAUCACAAAAACAACUUGGAAAUACACCUUCAUAUUAUCUUCGUUUUUUGUUUCUUCAAAAAUUAUGAGUAAUUAACUAAGUAUGAAAAUAAUGAAAGGAAGCUUAGAGAUGUUUGUAAUUGUUGAGGAUCUGAAAAUACGAUUUUAGUAACUGUAUUAUGGAACAUGCCACAAAAAACAACCUUUUCUUACUUGAAAUGUUAUCCUUUAUAGAUGUGAUUAAAAGUUAUAUUUAUUCAUAUAUAUAUAUAUGAACAAAAAAGUUAAAUGAAAUCUUUAAAGCUCUGUGAGGUUUUGAAUCAAAUGAACUUGAACACAAAAUGUUUUUGUUAAUUGGUUUUAAUUCAUCAUCAAAAGUAAUUAUGUGCAAACUUAGUUAAGCUAAUUGCUUAAUAUUUGUGACAAAAUCAUGUAAGCUUCAAAUAUUUUUAACACUUCUCUUAAUUUGUCAAUUUCAGAUUUAAAAUCAGAGAUUCCUGAAAACAAUAUCUGAAAUUUAUGCAAUUUGUAUUACAAUUGUUAGGCAUUUUGGUUUCGAGUGCUUUCUCAUCUUGUAUUAAUUUUUUGUUUUGAACAAGUUAAAAUACUGUUUUAUACUUUCAUUGUUUUACUCAUAUCAUGUCCUUUGCAUUUAGUAACUCAGAAAUAAUGUAAUAAUUUAAAGCUUUCAUUUUUGUGUUCAGUUAACUCAGUGAUGGCUCUACAGUUUGUAAAAGCCUCUCAAUCAACUGUUGAAUACAGUAAAAAACUCAAUUUAUAUGAUUAUUUUUCUUACAUCUGUAAAUUUUUGAAGUAAUGGACAGAAAAUACAGUAAAUAAAACUACCUCACUAGACCAGGCAGAAUCUGGAUUACUAAGGAAAAGAAAAUACAGUAAAUAAAACUACCUCACUAGACCAGGCAGAAUCUGGAUUACUAAGAAACAUAAAAUACAGUAAAUAAAACUACCUCACUAGACCAGGCAGAAUCGGGAUUACUAAGAAACAU